GACGACCGCUUGCGGCGUGCCUAAUACAUGCAAGUAGAACGCAGUUGCGAACGGGUGAGUCACGCGUAUGUAACCUGCCUCAUAGCGGGGGAUAACUAUUGGAAACGGUAGCUAAUACCGCAUACUGUGAGAUGGACCUGCGUUGUAUUAGCUAGUUGGUGAGGUAAAGGCUCACCAAGGCGCCGAUACAUAUCCGACUUGAGAGGGUGAUCCGCCACACUGGGAGUGAGUCACGGCCCAGACUCCUACGGGAGGCAGAAGGAGGGAAUUGUCGGCAAUGGAAGGAAGUCUGACCGAGCAACGCCGCGGGAGUGAAGAAGGAUUGCGGAUCGUAAAGCUCUGUUGCUAGUGAAGCGGGAACUAACCAGAAAGGGACGGCUAACUACGUGCCAGCAGCCGCGGUAAUUC
rnacentral:rRNA from 1 species